rnacentral:rRNA from 1 species
AACGCUGGCGGCAGGCUUAACACAUGCAAGUCGAGCGCCCCGCAAGGGGAGCGGCAGACGGGUGAGUAACGCGUGGGAACGUACCCUUUACUACGGAAUAACGCAUGGAAACGUGUGCUAAUACCGUAUGUGCCCUAUUGGGGAAAGAUUUAUCGGUAAAGGAUCGGCCCGCGUUGGAUUAGCUAGUUGGUGGGGUAAAGGCCUACCAAGGCGACGAUCCAUAGCUGGUCUGAGAGGAUGAUCAGCCACAUUGGGACUGAGACACGGCCCAAACUCCUACGGGAGGCAGCAGUGGGGAAUAUUGGACAAUGGGCGCAAGCCUGAUCCAGCCAUGCCGCGUGAGUGAUGAAGGCCUUAGGGUUGUAAAGCUCUUUCACCGGAGAAGAUAAUGACGGUAUCCGGAGAAGAAGCCCCGGCUAACUUCGUGCCAGCAGCCGCGGUAAUACGAANGGGGCUAGCGUUGUUCGGAUUUACUGGGCGUAAAGCGCACGUANGCGGAUCGAUCAGUCANGGGUGAAAUCCCAGANCUCAACUCUGGAACUGCCUUUGAUACUGUCGAUCUGGA